GCUCUCGUAGUCUAAUGGUUAGGACGUCAGAUUCCUACGAUGAAUCCAUCUGGAGGCUGCGGGUUCGAGUCCCGCCGAGAGUA
rnacentral:tRNA from 1 species